rnacentral:rRNA from 1 species
GGGUCAGUAGGUCGGUCGUGCCACCGGUACGUACUGGUCUCACUGAUUCCUCCUUCCUGAAGAACCGUAAUGCCAUUAAUUUGGUGUUGCGGGGAAACAGGACUGUUACUUUGAAAAAAUUAAAGUGUUUAAAGCAAGCUAACGCUUGAAUACAUUAGCAUGGAAUAAUGAAAUAGGACGAUCGAUCCUAUUUUGUUGGUUUCUAGGAUUGACGUA